AAUCUGGUCACACUUCCAGGAUAUUGUGUUGCCGGAACCAUUGGCCACAAAUUGAUGUCUGGAAAACCUACCAAGAUUGAUUUAGACAAAGAUACCCAUGUUGAUGUCAGAUGUCAGAUCCAUCAGCUGUCAUUCAGUCCUCACACAGACUCCAAAGGGAUCAUGGAUCUUACAGAAUUUCUUUCACCUAAC